GAUGAACGCUGGCGGCGUGCCUAAUACAUGCAAGUCGAACGCUGGAGGGGGAGCUUGCUUCUCUGGAUGAGUUGCGCAGGGGUGAGUAACGCGUAGGUAACCUGCCUGGUAGCGGGGGAGAACUCUUGGAAACGAUAGCUAAUACCGCAUAACAGUAGAUGUCGCAUGAUAUCUACUAGAAAGGUGCAGUUUUGUCACUACUAGAUGGUGCUGCGUUGUAUUAGUUAGUUGGUGAGGUAACGGCUGACUAAGGCGACGAUACAUCAUCGACCUGAGAGGGGGGACGGCCCCACUGGGAAUGGGACACGGGCCAGACUCCUACGGGAGGCAGCAGUAGGGAAUCUUCGGGAAUGGAGGGAAGUCUGACCGGGCAACGCCGCGGGAGUGAAGAAGGGUGUCGGAUCGGAAAGAUCUGUUGUAUGAGAAGAACGAGUGUGAGAGUGGAAAGUUCACACUGUGACGGUACCUUACCAGAAAGGGACGGCUAACUACGUG
rnacentral:rRNA from 1 species